rnacentral:lncRNA from 1 species
UUCUGCAGGAUUGGUUAUAGCAAUCAGUCUAGCAAUGAUAUAUCAUUACAGGAAAUUCAAUUAGAUACACGCCAGCCUAACAACAGCAACUGACUCUUUAGCAUCUUACAAAUUCAUACUAGCAAGGAAUAAGGUCUGCAGAGAAGUCUACUGUCAAGGGCGUUAAGCCCUAGGGUAGUAGGACCUCGGCUCCGGAGUUCGUAGCCGCGAUCCGUAGUUGGGGGGAGGCAAGGUUUUGCCCCUCAGCACACCCGGCCGGUUUGGGGAAGAGAAAGAGAGAUUAGGAAAUAGUUCUUUGUUGAUUUUCUGUUUUCCUGGUUACAAACUAAUAUAUAAGCCCACCGGCUAACAACCCUAGAGAUAACUGCUCCUAGAUCCUAGGGAUUGAUCCGAUAUGGCUAAACAACCUACUAACAAACCUCCUAACAACCUGCUAACAAACUUGGCUGAUCCGAUCUGUUUAACAACCUACUAACAAACCUCCUAAUAACCUGCUAACAAACCUCCUAAUCCUAAGGCUAAAGACUAGCUGCCAUCUAGCCCUAAUCCUAACCGCCAUCGCAUCAUGUGGGGGUGGCCACGCCCUCUGGUGCACUUGACGCCGCCCUCCGGAUGUCCCUGGCGCGCUGCUGCCGAGAGUAUGUUUGGCCCCACAUGACAUCUCUCCGCCCCUCGAUGACCAGCUCGUCCUCGAGCUGGAACUGCAGAUGCUUGUCGCAGAAACAAUUCACGUCUUACCAGGUUGCCGAGGCUACUGAUAGGCCCUUCCAGUGGAUCAGCACCUAACGGACGCCCCGAGAAAAACGGUAGCAAACAGCCUGCUCUGGUUCCGGAGUCACAGCACCGUUGUGGAUGGUUGGCAACGGAGGUGGAACGUCUGGUGGCGGCCCGACGAACUUCUUGUGGAGACCAACAUGGAAGACAUCGUGUAGCUUGGUGUGGGGAGGCAGGACGAGGCGGAUAACGACCUCGUUGAUGCGCUCGGCGACGCAGUACGGUCCGAAGAAGCGUGUUUUCAGCUUGCCCUUUGUCUCUUGUGAAAGAGAGGCGGCGGAGCACUGUCGAAGGCGGAUGAGAACUCAAUCGCCAACGUUGUAGGAGAUAGGACGGUAGCGCCUGUCGUAGAACUUCUUCUGGACCGCUUGAGCUUGUUCCAGGCGAUAGCGAACGUCCGCUAGGAGUUCCUCCCGAUCCGUCAUGUUCUUGGCUACGGCCACGACCCUUAUUUCGCUCGGCUCGCAGGAACGGAUGCACGACGGGUCCCGACCAUACACCACUUUGAAUGGCGUCUCUCAGAGCGAAGACUGGUAAGCCGUGUUGUAGACGUACUCCGUCCAUGGAAGCCACCGGAGCCACUGUCGAGGGCGAUCCCCCGUGAAGCACCUGAGGUACAUGGCGAUCAUUUUGUUGGAAGCCUCUGUUUGCCCAUCCGACUGUGGGUGGAAGGCCAUCGUCAUGUGGAGUUUGGCGCCGAUGAGCCUCAUGAGCUCCUUCCAGAAGGUUGAUAUGAACACCGGAUCCCGGUCGUACACCAUGGAUUGGGGUACCCCAUGGAGGCGCACGAUGUCCGCGAAGAACGCCUGCGCGACGGACUCUGCACUGUACGGGUGAGUCAAAGGUAUAAAGUGACAAUAUUUUGUUGAAACGGUCGACUACCGUCACUAUCACCGAUUUGCCGCCCAUGCGCGGUAAUGCUUCAACAAAAUCUAGACCGAUGUCAGUCCAAACUGCAUGUGGCACGGGCAAGGGCAGCAGGAGACCCGCCGGGUGCAAGUGCUCGGACUUAUAGCGUUGGCAGGUGGUACAGGCGUGGAUGAAGUCCUGGGAGUCAGAAAGACGUCAGAUAACCUGGGCGUUGGCUUCGACGAACGUCUGGAGGGAAUGGAUAGAGGCAACCAGGGUAUCCAAGGUGGCCUGCAGGGCGGCGUUGGUGCUGGUGUCAGCUGCCAUGGACUGGGCGUGGGGCGCGGCAGCUGGAGCUGGCGUGGUGGUUGGGGAUGGUGGUGGCUUGUGGGUGGAACAUGAUUGACUAGACCCGGAUACUAGGUUGUCAAGGGCGUUAAGCCCUAGGGUAGCAGGACCUCGGCUUCGGAGUUCGUAGCCGCGAUCCAUGGUUGGGGGGAGGCGAGGUUUUGCCCCUCAGCACACCCGGCCGGUUUGGAGAAGAGAAAGAGAGAUUAGGAAAUAGUUUGUU